rnacentral:rRNA from 1 species
GAUGAACGCUGGCGGCGUGCCUAAUACAUGCAAGUCGAACGCUGAAGGAAGGAGCUUGCUCUUUCCGGAUGAGUUGCGAACGGGUGAGUAACGCGUAGGUAACCUGCCUGGUAGCGGGGGAUAACUAUUGGAAACGAUAGCUAAUACCGCAUAACAGUAGAUGUUGCAUGAUAUCUACUUAAAAGGUGCAAUUGCACCACUACCAGAUGGACCUGCGUUGUAUUAGCUAGUUGGUGAGGUAACGGCUCACCAAGGCGACGAUACAUAGCCGUCCUGAGAGGGUGAUCGGCCACACUGGGACUGAGACACGGCCCAGACUCCUACGGGAGGCAGCAGUAGGGAAUCUUCGGCAAUGGACGGAAGUCUGACCGAGCAACGCCGCGUGAGUGAAGAAGGCUUUCGGAUCGUAAAGCUCUGUUGUAAGAGAAGAACGAGUGUGAGAGUGGAAAGUUCACACUGUGACGGUAUCUUACCAGAAAGGGACGGCUAACUACGUG